rnacentral:rRNA from 1 species
CAGUGCCGCGGUAAUACAGAGGGUGCGAGCGUUAAUCGGAUUUACUGGGCGUAAAGCGUGCGUAGGCGGCUAAUUGAGUCGGAUGUGAAAUCCCCGAGCUUAACUUGGGAAUUGCAUUCGAUACUGGUUAGCUAGAGUGUGGGAGAGGAUGGUAGAAUUCCAGGUGUAGCGGUGAAAUGCGUAGAGAUCUGGAGGAAUACCGAUGGCGAAGGCAGCCAUCUGGCCUAACACUGACGCUGAGGUACGAAAGCAUGGGGAGCAAACAGGAUUAGAUACCCCUGUAGUCCCUGUCUCUUAUACA